GUCUGCUUAAUGCCGUCCCUGUGGAGGUCAGGAGGUUGAUUCUGGCCCACAGCCAGCAAACCAACAGCCAUUUUGAGCCCCUAGAUACAGACCGAGGAAACAUCAAAGACAAAGAGGAAGAUUGGGAUUCUCAUUGGUCCAGUAAAUCAUCAGCGUUCGAUACGUCCGACAUGAGGCCUGGAGGAGUCUUGAACCCAACAGCAUGUCUACACCCGGGAGACAUUCUUCUCUUUACCGUGACCCAACAGCACUAUCCUCAGUAUGAUGUAGACAGCUUGUACAACACUAAUUAUGCGUUUGACUGGGGACCCUUCAGAUUACUGGCACAAGACCAAGAAC
rnacentral:lncRNA from 1 species